UCUAACAACAGAGGUUAACAGGGGGCAUGUAUGUGAGUCUAACAACAGAGGUUAACAGGGGGCAUGUAUGUGAGUCUAACAACAGAGGUUAACAGGGGGCAUGUAUGUGAGUCUAACAACAGAGGUUAACAGAGGGCAUGUAUGUGAGUCUAACAACAGAGGUUAACAGGGGGCAUGUAUGUGAGUCUAGCAACAGAGGUUAACAGGGGGCAUGUAUGUGAGUCUAACAACAGAGGUUAACAGGGAGCAUGUAUGUGAGUCUAACAACAGAGGUUAACAGGGGGCAUGUAUGUGAGUCUAACAACAGAGGUUAACAGGGGGCAUGUAUGUGAGUCUAACAACAGAGGUGAACAGGGGGCAUGUAUGUGAGUCUAGCAACAGAGGUUAACAGGGGGCAUGUAUGUGAGUCUAACAACAGAGGUUAACAGGGGGCAUGUAUGUGAGUCUAACAACAGAGGUUAACAGGGGGCAUGUAUGUGAGUCUAGCAACAGAGGUUAACAGGGGGCAUGUAUGUGAGUCUAGCAACAGAGGUUAACAGGGGGCAUGUAUGUGAGUCUAACAACAGAGGUUAACAGGGGGCAUGUAUGUGAGUCUAGCAACAGAGGUUAACAGGGGGCAUGUAUGUGAGUCUAGCAACAGAGGUUAACAGGGGGCAUGUAUGUGAGUCUAGCAACAGAGGUUAACAGGGGGCAUGUACGUGAGUCUAACAACAGAGGUUAACAGGGGGCAUGUAUGUGAGUCUAGCAACAGAGGUGAACAGGGGGCAUGUAUGUGAGUCUAGCAACAGAGGUGAACAGGGGGCAUGUAUGUGAGUCUAACAACAGAGGUUAACAGGGGGCAUGUAUGUGAGUCUAACAACAGAGGUUAACAGGGGGCAUGUAUGUGAGUCUAACAACAGAGGUUAACAGGGGGCAUGUAUGUGAGUCUAACAACAGAGGUGAACAGGGGGCAUGUAUGUGAGUCUAACAACAGAGGUUAACAGGGGGCAUGUAUGUGAGUCUAACAACAGAGGUUAACAGGGGGCAUGUAUGUGAGUCUAACAACAGAGGUUAACAGGGGGCAUGUAUGUGAGUCUAACAACAGAGGUGAACAGGGGGCAUGUAUGUGAGUCUAACAACAGAGGUUAACAGGGGGCAUGUAUGUGAGUCUAACAACAGAGGUGAACAGGGAGCAUGCAAUAGGAGCAGGAACAUGUUGAAGAUGAGUCGAAAGCAACAUCACCUGGAGCAUGACAAUGUAAGUAGCGAUGCAGUUUAACACGGGC